rnacentral:lncRNA from 1 species
CUCCUCCCUGAAGAUGGCCGCGCAGGCCAGGGCUCCGGCACCCGGCUGCGGACCAGAUCCCCUGGGCUGCACCCGGCCUUGCGCCCCUGGUCCGCGCUCGCAGGCUCGGAAACGGGCGGUCCUCCCGAGGCUGAAAGGGAAAAAAGGAAAAUGAAGUCCUAUUAAUAUGUUUAUGAUAGGAAGAAUAAUUAGAAAAGUAGAAUAAAAAAACUGAAGCAUGGUGAAAUCACAGUGUGUGAAUAUAUGCAAAGGAUACUCAAAGGUCAAGAAAAGUUCAAGAAUUGUCUCUGCAUGAUAGUUCCCACAGGAAGCUACCUGAUACUAAUGAUUUUUGAAGAGACGUAUUUUUCGGGGUUGUGCCUGCAUGAUGCAAAAGAUCCAGGGAACUCUAAGAGGUAUAUGUUUGACAUCCUUCUAUAUUUCUUACUUAGAAAUUGAUGUCCUAUACUGUUAACAAAUACUUGUUCUGUGUCCUUGUCUCCAGGGAAUUUGACUUUUGUGGCUUAUUUCCUCUAACCUACAAGCUAUUCAAUUGAGAAUUAACUUUUCAGGAAGAAGGGCCUCUAUAUUUCCUGAUUUUUUAGAAUUGAUUUCUAGUUUUAUUGCAUGAUAAUUAAGAAUGAUUUCAGAGUUCCCAUGGUGGCUCAGCGGGUUACGAAUACAUCAUCUCUGUGAAGAUGCAAGUUCAAUCCCUGGGCUUGCUCAGUGGGUUAAAUAUCCAGUGUGGCUGCAAGCUGUGGUGUAGGUUGCAGAUGCAGUUCAGAUCUGGUGUUGCUAUGGCUGUGGCAUAGGUUGGCAGCUGCAGCUCUGAUUCAACCCCUGGACUAGGAACUUCCCUGUGUCGCAGGUAUGGCUGUUAAAAAAAAGAAAAAAAAA